rnacentral:rRNA from 1 species
AUUGAACGCUGGCGGCAUGCCUUACACAUGCAAGUCGAACGGUAACAGGUCUUCGGAUGCUGACGAGUGGCGAACGGGUGAGUAAUACAUCGGAACGUGCCUAGUAGUGGGGGAUAACUACUCGAAAGAGUGGCUAAUACCGCAUGAGAUCUACGGAUGAAAGCAGGGGGUCGCAAGACCUUGUGCUACUAGAGCGGCCGAUGGCAGAUUAGGUAGUUGGUGGGAUAAAAGCUUACCAAGCCGACGAUCUGUAGCUGGUCUGAGAGGACGAUCAGCCACACUGGGACUGAGACACGGCCCAGACUCCUACGGGAGGCAGCAGUGGGGAAUUUUGGACAAUGGGCGCAAGCCUGAUCCAGCAAUGCCGCGUGCAGGAUGAAGGCCUUCGGGUUGUAAACUGCUUUAGUACGGAACGAAAAGCCCUGGGUUAAUACCCUGGGGUCAUGACGGUACCGUAAGAAUAAGCACCGGCUAACUACGUGCCAGCCGCCGCCGUAAAAC